CUUGUAUUUGUCAAAUUUCCACUAUUUUUCCCUAGCUUGAGGGGGAAAAAAAAGAAAUAAAGGGCUAUAUGGUAAAUUUGAAAAAUAAUGAUAAACCUAUUUAAAUAAAACACUAAAUUAAAGAAAUGUCCCUACAAUGAUGCCUUGGUAGUUUGGUGAUAUAAAAUAUUGUUAAUUUAAUAAAGCAGUAAUAAUGACAGAUUUUUAAAAAAUUACUUGGCGAAAUUUUAAAAAUGGGAAAUUUUACUGAUCAAUGAAAUUUUAAAGUUACUUUUCACUGCUCUAGAAUCUCUUUUAGGGGUAGAGCAUUUGGCCCUUAUAGGCUUAAUUCUGUAUGUGGAUGUGGUUGAUCUGCUUGAAUGCUUGUUCUGAGGGUCUCCAACAAGGAAGAAUUAACUUUCUAUCCCAGAAAGGGAGGUCUUCCCUGGGAGUUGAAGUAGUACUGUCCUUGGAGAGGUGUGGGCAGGAGAUAGAAAUAGAGAAUUUCUAUAAAAAGACAUUCCUCUUAACUGCACGAAGUUGGCUGCAUUAUUGGAGAAAUAAUUCUAUCCAUUAGUGAUAUUUUGGAAAGAAUAAUGUCAGCCUGGACAUUCCAGCUCCUAUUUCAUUUUUUCAUACUAGGUUUUAUUUGAUAAAAGCCCCUUCAGAGCCUAAAAUGACUGAACAGAGGAGUCAGAUAGCUCGAAUUUGUAAAAUGUAAGAAAGAACUAAAGGGUGAAACUGCCUGUGGUGAGCAAUGGGAUUUUUAAGAUACGGGAUGAAAUUGUCUUUGAAUACGUGGCUGCAUGCAAGGGAGGGGGAAGAAGCCAGAGAAUAGGAUAGUGGUCUUAGAUUUCAUUCUUUUUUUUCUAAUUCACUGCAAUUCUUUUCUAACAUUUGUCUGAUUUGGAGAGAAGGAACAUUAUGCCUCAUAUGUCAGUGCAUGGUGUUUGUCUUGCUGAAGGCUGAGAAUAUGGAGUGGACUGAGAAGAAACUGUUCUUAUUGACAUAAUUUUAUCGUAGAAAUGAUGUAAGAGCAGCAUUGAUCUCUUUAGAUGAACUAGGACCUGACUUUGCAUUGUCUUUGUUUUUCAGCAGCACAGAGAGUUCAGAAACUAGGAGGUAUGGAGAAGGCCCCAGCUACUAACAUCAUUAGGAAUAAAGUUUUUGCUUUCCUUCAUAGCUGGAAAUCUCGCUCCUCUGGCUCAGAAAAAUAAAGGGCUCUACCUCUCUUGAGAACCCUCAGCACCUAGGACAAGGAGAAACUUAGUGCUUCCAGUGGAGGGGGCUGGUGACAUGAAGUCUACAAAGUUCCCAAGAGAGGACAAAACCUGAGAGCAUCAGCAUGUCUCAUGCAAACUUCCUCUGCCCCUGGAAAAAACUCUGGGGGAUCCAGGCAGGAGAAGAGAUAAGCUGUGGCCCACAUGGCUCCCUGGAGAGAAAGACAGCUCUGCUCUGGUUUACUGGGCUAACUGGAAGACAGCAUUCCCAGAAAGGCUAUUAUGGAGCAGAAUUGUAGCAACGGUGUUCUUUCCCCCAGCUAGUGGAGCUGAGCUUAUAAUGCAGCUCAGCCUUCAGCACAUGCAGAGAUCCACCAACAGAAAAAGAAGGGCCCUUCUAAUGUUUGUACAGUCCAUAAAUCAGUUCUCUGGUGGAGACAGCCUCACCCUUGUUCUUUUGGUGGUCUUUUCUUUUUUACCCGGUACCUUAACCAGGAACUGACUUGUCUUUGCUCACUUACCUUAACUUGAAAUAUUAUCUUAUAUGUUCUUCCUGUGGUGGAAGAUUGAUUUUUUUCCAUCAUUCUCUUCUCUAAUACCUCUUCUUCAUUAUUUUCUAUUGAAUGCCAGCUCCUUUCCCUCUUCUCAAGAAGAGGGAAAAGACACAUGUCAUAACCAUUUUCCCUAUUGAAGGAAGCUGGCAGUUUUAUAACGUAACUCUCAUUACAUUCCUAAGACAGAGACUGGGAUGGGUGUAGUGCAGUGGUCUUCAAACUUAUUUUUUAAACAUUCACAAUUUUCUUUACAAUUUUUUGAAUUCAUCUCUUAGUUACAAAUUCAUUUAUUUGUAAGUUAUACAUAGUUGAUUAUACUAAUCUGUGCAUUUAAAAACACAAAAAUAAAACAUUUAAAUAGUUGAGUUAAAUUUGAAAUAUAUAAUAUUAAUUUUUUAUCAAUUUUAGCUAGUCUCUUACAUCACUAUAUAUCAUCAAGGCAAAGUUCAUCAUUAAUAAUAAUGGAAGUAAAUGUGUAAUUGUUUCAGCUCACAGUGUAGCCGAUAAAGAGAUUGUUCUAGCAGGAAAAGUAAUAGGACUUCCACUUUUUGGUUGUUUGCUUGUGCUUGCUUUAUGAAGAGUCUCUUUAAUUUGCAAUUUCUCACAGGAAUCUUUUUAAGCCCCUCAUUCCUUUUAUGAUGGUUAAUGUAAUAAAAACUAGAUAAGAUCAUCUGUAAACUUAUGUAGACAGAUACAUGUACAUUAUUUUUGUCUUAAUAUUCAAUAUGCUGAAAGUGCAUAAUGUGUGAGGUUCCCUACUGUUAAUGGCCCUGGGCCAUAGAUUCACACUCAGGAAAGCAUGUGUACUGUAUGUGAAAUGAAUCCAUCUCAAAUAGGCUCUGAGUGUAUCAUUGCCAAUAUGCACAUUACAUAUCUGUAAACCUUAUAUUUAUUAUGUUAUAGAUACAAAUAAAUAAAAUGUUAAGUAUUUUCUUCCCAGU
rnacentral:lncRNA from 1 species